CUGAACCAGCCAAGUAGCGUGAAGGAUGAAGGCUCUAUGGGUCGUAAACUUCUUUUAUAUAAGAAUAAAGUGCAGUAUGUAUACUGUUUUGUAUGUAUUAUAUGAAUAAGGAUCGGCUAACUCCGUGCCAGCAGCCGCGGUAAUACGGAGGAUCCAAGCGUUAUCCGGAUUUAUUGGGUUUAAAGGGAGCGUAGGUGGACUGGUAAGUCAGUUGUGAAAGUUUGCGG
rnacentral:rRNA from 1 species